UCUUCAAGGCCCUCCCUCCAAUCCUACCUCCAUCUUAAAGACCUAUCCUUGACCAUGCUAGGUGAACAUGACUUCUCCUUGUGCAUGACCAUUGUUCUUGUUAUCUUGACAGAGGCAGUAUAGUGGAGCCCCAGCUGAAUUGUGAGUCUAUACUGUCCUACCUUCAAAUCCUGGAACAGAUUUCUCUACCACUAGCUGAAAAGAAUGACCCUAUAAAUGCUGUGCUCCUGGGGCUGCAGAGAAUCAUUGUGUUGCAUGGAUAUCCCAGCAGCAGAAGAAGCUCUGAUUGACCAGGGAGGAAAAUGCCUCUGUCUUGGGGAAGGCCUGGCUCGCAUGGAGCGGUUUCUGUUCCUGGCCACCAUUCUACAGAGCUUCACCUUGAAACCCUUGGUUGAUCCAAAAGAACUUGACAUCACCCCACUCAUGACUGGAGCUCCAGUUUAUAAAUUAUCUCUUCUUCCUAGAUAAAUGAUGUCCUGUAGCCACAGCUUAAUUGCUUUGUUCCCACAAAUUGACAGCACAGUCAAUCUCUAUUUUAAAUGACAAUCUUGGUGUUUGCUGUUCGGAAGAAAAUCUUACCUUCUUCAAGUUAAGAACAGUGUUUGGACAGCUCCUGCAAGAGAGACCUACAAGACCAAGGGACAAUGGAGUCACCAAAGCCUAAUACUUGGCCACUCUGCUUUGGUAGCAGCAAAGAACCACAGCAAAGGGAAAUCAUAUGCUCAAUUUAAGAGGUCAUUCCCAAUCUUAAGAAGUUCUGGAAACUUUGCAAAUUGUCCUUCAUGACCUGGUAAUUGUUUCUAAAUUUUGUUAUGGUGCUGUUUACAGAGAAAUAAAGGAAUCACAACUUAGAGUUGUUUUUA